UGGGGAAUAUUGCACAAUGGGCGAAAGCCUGAUGCAGCGACGCCGCGUGCGGGAUGAAGGCCUUCGGGUUGUAAACCGCUUUUAAUUGGGAGCAAGCGAGAGUGAGUGUACCUUUUGAAUAAGCACCGGCUAACUACGUGCCAGCAGCCGCGGUAAUACGUAGGGUGCAAGCGUUAUCCGGAAUUAUUGGGCGUAAAGAGCUCGUAGGCGGUUUGUCACGCCUGGUGUGAAAGUCCAUCGCUUAACGGUGGAUCUGCGCCGGGUACGGGCAGGCUAGAGUGCAGUAGGGGAGAUUGGAAUUCCCGGUGUAACGGUGGAAUGUGUAGAUAUCGGGAAGAACACCAAUGGCGAAGGCAGAUCUCUGGGCUGUUACUGACGCUGAGGAGCGAAAGCAUGGGGAGCGAACAGGAUUAGAUACCCGUGGUAGUCCAUGCCGUAAAC
rnacentral:rRNA from 1 species